rnacentral:rRNA from 1 species
ACAUGUGUACAACAUAGCGUUAAUGCACUGGAUCCCAUUAGAACUCCACAUUUAAGCGCACUCAGGCUAGAGCAGUAUUUGGAUGGGUGGCUGCCCAGAAAUUCCUAUUGUUUUACAUGCC